CGUAGGUGAACCUGCGGAAGGAUCAUUAUUGUGUAACCGAGGUGCGAGGGCUGUCGCUGACCCGAAAGGUCGUGCACGCCCGAGUGCCCUCACACACAUCCAUCUCACCCCUAUGUGCACCACCGCGUGGGUCCCCCUUUGGCUUGUUCGGAGGGGGGCUUACGUUUUCACACAAACUUUGUAUGCAGUGUAGAAUGUAUUUUUUGUUUUUGCGAUCACGCAAUCAAUACAACUUUCAACAACGGAUCUCUUGGCUCUC
rnacentral:misc_RNA from 1 species